CUAUGAUCCCAGACCUGAGCAUCUAAGCUGGGAAUUGAACUGUGCUCUUUGAGAUCUGAAGCAGGGUAUUUUGUUCAGUAAUGGGUGGUCUGCUGCCUCCCCACAAUGCUGGCUCCUGACAGACAGGUUAAUCAAUAUUAUUGAUUGUGGGAUUUGAGAAGCCUGUCUGUAUGAAGGGUCUGAUUUGGGAACUUCACACAUUUCACUGGGUCUUUAUUUAAUGAAACUGGGCAAUGGAAAAGUACCUCAGUUCAGCUGGAUCUGGUUUAAUGGAACAGACUUGAGAAAGAAAACUUUCCUCCCCAAACUCAUGAGCAUCAUCAGUCCAUAUAAAAUAUCUUCCUAAGAAGGUCACCAUCUAACUAUCAAGAACAGCCACAAAUGAGAUGUACAAUGCUGAGAGCCAGCCAUGGGUGUGUACCUCCCUCACUGCUCACAACACACAGAAUGUUGCUCCUGUCAUCACUGCCAUUGGCUGCUCCAAACAUGCAGGAGAAGAAUCUUUAUGUGGAUACUUCAGGCAAGAGAUCUGGAAGUGACCCUGCAUGUCUCAGACCCGGUGAAACCGGCUGAGACCGGAGGAGCCCUAGGAAGAAGGAACCGGGCAGGGCAGACCAGACACACAGCAUGUUCCUGAAAUGAUUCCCAUUCCAGCCAGUCAGGGAGAUCUGUGGACAUGGCGGCACAGCAGCCAGAUGUCUUGAAGAAUCCAUGAUUCUGAUCACACUACUGUGUGCUUGUACAGCUGGUGAUUGGCCGGACUGAG
rnacentral:lncRNA from 1 species